UACGUAGGGUGCGAGCGUUGUCCGGAAUUAUUGGGCGUAAAGGGCUCGUAGGCGGUCUGUUGCGUCGGGUGUGAAAACUCAGGGCUUAACCCUGAGCCUGCUUCCGAUACGGGCAGACUAGAGGUAUGCAGGGGAGAACGGAAUUCCUGGUGUAGCGGUGAAAUGCGCAGAUAUCAGGAGGAACACCGGUGGCGAAGGCGGCGUUCUGGACUGCAACUGACACUGAGGAACGAAAGCCAGGGGAGCAAACGGG
rnacentral:rRNA from 1 species